rnacentral:rRNA from 1 species
GAUGAACGCUGGCGGCGUUCCUAAUACAUGCAAGUCGAGAGAACAGAUAAGGAGCCUGCUCCUUUGACGUUAGCGGCGGACGGGUGAGUAACACGUGGAUAACCUACCUAUAAGACUGGGAUAACUUCGGGAAACCGGAGCUAAUACCGGAUAACAUAUUGAACCGCAUGGUUCAAUAGUGAAAGGCGGCUUUGCUGUCACUUAUAGAUGGAUCCGCUCCGGAUGAGCUAGUAGGUAAGGUAACGGCUUACCAAGGGAACGAUACGUAGCCGAUCUGAGGGGGGGUUCGGCCGCACUGAGACUGAUACACGGUCCAAACUCCUACGAGUGGCAGCAAUAGGGAAUCUUCCGCAAUGGGCGGAAGCCUGUCGGAUCAACGCCGCGUGAGUGAUGAAGGUCUUCAGAUCGUAAAACUCUGUUAUCAGGGAAGAACAAAUGUGUAAGUAACUGUGCACAUCUUGACAGUACCUGAGCAGAAAGCCACGGCUAACUACGUGCCAGCAGCCGCAGUAA